rnacentral:rRNA from 1 species
CCUACGGGAGGCAGCAGUGAGGAAUAUUGGACAAUGGGCGAGAGCCUGAAGCAGCAAAGCAGCGUGAAGGAAGACUGCCCUACGGGUUGUAAACUCCUUUUAUAAAGGAAUAAAGUGAGGAGCGUGUGCCUUCAUGUAUGUACUUUAUGAAUAAGGAUAGGCUAACUACGUGCCAGCAGCCGAGGUAAUACGGAGGGUCCGAGCGUUAUCCGGAUUUAAUGGGUUUAAAGGGAGCGCAGAUGGGUUGUUAAGUCAGCUGUGAAAGUUUGCGGCUCAACCGUAAAAUUGCAAUUGAUACUGGCAGCCUUGAGUGCAGUUGAGGUAGGCGGAAUUCGUGGUGUAGCGGUGAAAUGCGUAGAUAUCACGAAGAACACCGAUUGCGAAGGCAGCUUACUAGACUUCCACUGACGUUGAGGCUCGAAAGUGUGGGUAGCAAACAGGAUUAGAUACCCUUGUAGUC